CGAGCGUUUUGUUUUUGUUUACGCCAGUACUGCAGACGAAAAAACUGGGAUUUAUCACGUGAAACUUAAAAAUUGAUUCCGGAUAGUGUGGGGUCUCGAUUCCAGGGAAAAUCAAGGCGUUGCUGUCCAAGGAAGAGUGCUUAUUGAAAUAGGUCAUCGACGAGAUUAAUCAUUAGUUGGAUGGUCGACGGAAGUUCCUACCAGGGUUUGCAAUUAUGAACUUCUUACGAUCAACUUCUGGGGAAGUGGUCCGGCCGUCUUCGUGCCAGUUCCUGUUUCGGUUCGAGACGUGCCUUCUGGUAUUACAAGUUGAGUCGAUUGGCCGGAAUGGAGCAAAAACGCAUGCACUACGACCCGCAGGCUUCCAUUUGACCGGCAGCUCGGUUCUUUUCUGACAGUUUGGGAACCUCCGGAGACAUACAAAGACGUUACCAAGAUUUCGUCCACGCAACGAGAGGUUGAAGCGGAGCCAGCAUCGAACGAUACUGCUAUUCACAGCUCGUGGAAACGACUCAUCGCUCAUACGCUCAUUUAGAUACCAGUUGUCAGCAUGGCCACCACGAUAAUCCUGCCAGGUUGAACUACGGUCAGCAGAUGACGUUUCGAUUUAAACC